UACGGGGGGGGCAAGCGUUGUUCGGAAUUACUGGGCGUAAAGGGCGCGUAGGCGGCCCGCUAAGUCGAACGUGAAAUCCCCGAGCUCAACUCGGGAACUGCGUCCGAUACUGGUGGGCUUGAAUCCGGGAGAGGGAUGCGGAAUUCCAGGUGUAGCGGUGAAAUGCGUAGAUAUCUGGAGGAACACCGGUGGCGAAGGCGGCAUCCUGGACCGACACUGACACUGAGGAGCGAAAGCCAGGGGAGCAAACGGG
rnacentral:rRNA from 1 species